GGCUCCGUAGCUCAGGGGUUAGAGCACUGGUCUCGUAAACCAGGGGUCGUGAGUUGAAUCUCACUGGGGCCU
rnacentral:tRNA from 1 species